rnacentral:rRNA from 1 species
UACAGAGACUGCAAGCGUUAUUCGGAUUCACUGGGCGUAAAGGGUGCGCAGGCGGCCAUGUGUGUUGGGUGUGAAAGCCCGGAGCUUAACUCCGGAAUUGCGCUCAAAACUACAUGGCUAGAGUAUUGGAGAGGGUAACGGAAUUCAUGGUGUAGCAGUGAAAUGCGUAGAUAUCAUGAGGAACACCAGAGGCGAAGGCGGUUACCUGGACAAUUACUGACGCUCAGGCACGAAAGCGUGGGGAGCAAAAGGG